AACGAACGCUGGCGGCAUGCCUAACACAUGCAAGUCGAACGAGACCUUCGGGCUUAGUGGCGCACGGGUGCGUAACGCGUGGGAACCUGCCCUUAGGUUCGGAAUAACUCCCCGAAUGGGGUGCUAAUACCGGCUAAUGUCUUCGGACCAAAGAUUUAUCGCCUUUGGAUGGGCUUGCGUUGGAUUAGCUAGUUGGUAGGGUAAAAGCCUACCAAAGCGACGUUCCAUAGCUGGUUUGAGAGGAUGAGCCGCCACACUGGUACUGAGACACGGUCCAGACUCCUACGGGAGGCAGCAGUGGGGAAUAUAGGACAAUGGGCGAAAGCCUGAUCCAGCAAUGCCGCGUGAGUGAUGAAGGUCUUAGGGUUGUAAAGCUCUUUUACCCGGGAUGAUAAUGACAGUACCGGGAGAAUAAGCACCGGCUAACUCCGUG
rnacentral:rRNA from 1 species